CUGUUACUGAAUGCAUCUAUUCUCAUCAGGAAUGUCUGGGAUAAUAACAUCAGGAAUCCUGCCGUUCCCCUGAACAGACUCCAUCUAACUCCCACAAGCUCUGACUCUGACCUGUAGCCUUUGAUACAGAAAACCAUAUUAUUAUCAAAUGAAUGAAAGCAUGGAACUCUGGAAAAGAAAGGCAAUGCAAUCUGUGAGGACAAUCCAGAUUUCAGGGAAUCCCAUGAAGGUUACAAGAGCCAAAGGAGAUGGAGGACACCAGGAGAACAAAGCCCUCUGAACCAACUAAGCAAGGUGCCCAUGAACUCACAGAGUCUGAAGUAGCAAGCAGAUGACCUGCAUGGUCUGCACCAUGUGCUCUAUGUGUAUAUCAUAGCUAUUGGCUUAGCACUUUUAUGGGAAUCCUUAUUGUGAGAACAAGUUGGUCUCAAACUUUUGUCCUUGCUCUUGGGACUAUUUU